rnacentral:rRNA from 1 species
AGAGUUUGAUCCUGGCUCAGGACGAACGCUGGCGGCGUGCUUAAAACAUGCAAGUCGAACGGUGAAGGAGUGCUUGCACUCCGGAUCAGUGGCGUACGGGUGAGUAACACGUGAGCAAUCUGCCGAUCUGCGGGGGAUACCCAUUCGAAAGGAUGGUUAAUACCGCAUAGUGCGCAGUCUCCGCCUGGGGAUUGCGGGAAAGAUUUAUUACAGAUCGAGGAGCUCGCGGCCUAUCAGCUUGUUGGUGUAGUAACGGUGCACCAAGGCGACGACGGGUAGCCGGCCUGAGAGGGUGAUCGGCCACACUGGGACUGAGACACGGCCCAGACUCCUACGGGGGGCAGCAGUUGGGAAUCUUGCGCAAUGGGGGAAACCCUGACGCAGCGACGCCGCGUGCGGGAUGACGGUCUUCGGAUUGUAAACCGCUUUUCUCGGGGACGAUAAUGACGGUACCCGAGAAUCAGCC